rnacentral:piRNA from 1 species
UAACACAAGAGAGCGCUGCAUUGUUUGGGU